UACGUAGGGUGCAAGCGUUGUCCGGAAUUAUUGGGCGUAAAGAGCUUGUAGGCGGUUUGUCGCGUCUGCUGUGAAAUUUCGGGGCUCAACCGCGAACUUGCAGUGGGUACGGGCAGACUAGAGUGUGGUAGGGGAGACUGGAAUUCCUGGUGUAGCGGUGAAAUGCGCAGAUAUCAGGAGGAACACCGAUGGCGAAGGCAGGUCUCUGGUCUGUAACUGACGCUGAGGAGCGAAAGCGUGGGGAGCGAACAGG
rnacentral:rRNA from 1 species